rnacentral:rRNA from 1 species
CAAUAGCGUAUAUUAAAGUUGUUGCAGUUAAAAAGCUCGUAGUUGAAUUUUUGCUUGCCGCCGAUGUCGGAACUUCCGUACGUUCGGCGGCGUGCAUCCUUGGGUGGAACCUGUGUGGCAUUAGGUUGUCGUGCAGGGGAUGCUCAUCGUUUACUGUGAAAAAAUUAGAGUGUUCAAAGCAGGCUUACGCCGUUGAAUAUAUUAGCAUGGAAUAAUAAGAUAGGACCUUGGUACUAUUUUGUUGGUUUGCGCACCGAGGUAAUGAUUAACAGGGACAGUUGGGGGUAUUCGUAUUCCAUUGUCAGAGGUGAAAUUCUUGGAUUUCUGGAAGACGAACUACUGCGAAAGCAUUUACCAAGGAUGUUUUCAUUAA